rnacentral:rRNA from 1 species
AGAGUUUGAUCCUGGCUCAGGAUGAACGCUAGCGGCAGGCCUAACACAUGCAAGUCGAGGGGUAACAGGUGUAGCAAUACAUGCUGACGACCGGCGCACGGGUGAGUAACGCGUAUGCAACCUACCUUUAACAGGAGAAUAGCCCCGAGAAAUCGGGAUUAAUACUCCAUAUCAUUUAUGAAUCGCAUGGUUUAUAAAUAAAAGUUCAGACGGUUAAAGAUGGGCAUGCGUGACAUUAGCUGGUUGGUAGGGUAACGGCCUACCAAGGCUACGAUGUCUAGGGGUUCUGAGAGGAAGGUCCCCCACACUGGUACUGAGACACGGACCAGACUCCUACGGGAGGCAGCAGUGAGGAAUAUUGGUCAAUGGGCGCGAGCCUGAACCAGCCAUCCCGCGUGCAGGAAGACGGCCCUAUGGGUUGUAAACUGCUUUUGUGCAGGAAGAAUGUGCCCAUCGUGAUGGGUAGUGACGGUACUGCAUGAAUAAGCACCGGCUAACUCCGUGCCAGCAGCCGCGGUAAUACGGAGGGUGCAAGCGUUAUCCGGAUUUAUUGGGUUUAAAGGGUGCGUAGGCGGUAAAAUAAGUCAGUGGUGAAAAGCUGCAGCUCAACUGUAGUCCUGCCAUUGAAACUGUUUUACUUGAGUAACCAUGAGGUAGGCGGAAUGUGUAGUGUAGCGGUGAAAUGCUUAGAUAUUACACAGAACACCGAUUGCGUAGGCAGCUUACUAGAGGUUCACUGACGCUGAUGCACGAAAGCGUGGGGAUCAAACAGGAUUAGAUACCCUGGUAGUCC